GACAAGGUGAAGGGGGGAUGGGGCGUUAGCGGUACAGCCCCCGCCCCCACCCAUCCGCUCUUCUGCCCCGUGCGUGCCUCUGGUUUCCCUUCCCUCAGGCGGGGGGACCCCGAUACCGCCAGCAGUUCGGUCCCAUGUCUGCAUCAGCCUGCCACUGAGAUACCUACCUCUUCGGGAAUUGCAGGAACUGUGUCUUUUUUGUCUCUGCUGCUGCCUGACUGCAUACUUCUGGUUCCAAAUGAGAGGUGCGGUUGACUGACAAAAAUCUAAGCCAGCCUGACAUAGCAAAGUUCCGGCCUGCUCUGCCUGCCUAUCUUUCAAAUGCAUGGUAUGAUUGACAUUCCCCUAUAGGGGAUGUUUCAUGUUUCACAACAAGGGCUGGGGUUUGUCCUGCUGCCCUUGCUCAAUGUUUCCUUUCCCUGUGCUGGGUGGAGGCUAUUAGUUGUGUCCAGGUGCUCCCUCUGCUGUGGUCAUGGCCUUGGCUGCACACGGCCAUUAGCUGGCUCUCCUCUCUCUGCAGGAGCCAGCCUCCAGUGCCUGGUGCAGGACGGGGAAGGUCCCUAUUCACCCCCCUCUGAGCUCAGAGACAGGCCCUGCCUAUGGCUGGGGCAGUGUCAUCCAUGCAUCCUCCUUCCGCCUGUGGCUUAUGCAACCCUCAGACCCAGUGACAGCCACCCCGCGAAGAGCCAGCCAGCGAGCAAGACACACCCCUCUAUGGCCCAGUAAGCCCCGCCCAUCGCGCCCGAGCUUCACCAAUGAAAAACCAGCACACGUGCUUUUUGUCCCGCCCCGCCCCCCGUUGCUCAGUUUCUCACGAAUCACAGCCUGGCCCAACUGCGUCCCUUUAUCUGACCCAAUCACAAACCGAGACCGGUGCUAAAUCCUGCCCCUUCCUUGUGUCCGCCAAUCAGAUCCCUUUAUCCAGUUUCCUUUACGUUAUCCCUGUCGCAACCAAUCGUGGUCCAGUUACGUUAUUUCCCCGC